rnacentral:rRNA from 1 species
CCCUUAGAUGUUCGGGGCCGCACGCGCGCUACACUGAAGGAAUCAACGUGUGUCUUCCCUGGCCCGGAAGGGUCGGGUAACCCGUUGAACCUCCUUCGUGCUAGGGAUUGGGGAUUGUAAUUCUUCCCCAUGAACGAGGAAUUCCCAGUAAGCGCGAGUCAUAAGCUCGCGUUGAUUACGUCCCUGCCCUUUGUACACACCGCCCGUCGCUCCUACCGAUCGAAGAGUUAGGUGAAUUGUUUUGAUCGAUAAGAUUUGACUAUGGUCAACUCUCGUUGUGAAAUUCUGUGAAUCUGACUGUUUAGAGGAAGGAAAAGUCGUAACA